UCCAUGACGGGGACGGAGUUGAGCUGGAGCUAUUUGUUUCUCCACGCUUCGCUGUGAAACCGGCACGGAUGGAAAAAACUCUUCACAAUCCUCCUCCUGUCAAUAUUUCAACUUUUAAUCAGACUUCAAACUUCUUCAAAUCAGCUGUUUACGAAGAUUACUUGGAAAGGAGAGGACUAACUUCAUCUGCAAAAUUAUUGUAACAUCUACACGGUUCUCUAAUACUUCGUUGACUUGAUUAUCUUUUCACUCUAUUUCUAUUUGUUUUGUCAAAAUGGCUGAUGUUGAAUCCAUGCCGAGAUAUGUUUCUCCAGUCCAUCCGGCCAUCUUUCCUCACCUGACCAUGAUUUUGCUCGGGAUCGGCGUCUUUUUCACGGCCUGGUUUUUUGUGUACGAGGUGACCGCAACAAAGAAGACGAGGGCCGUGAUGAAAGAGCUCGUCAUUUCUAUCGUCGCCGCUACCUUUAUGAGCUUUGGACUCCUCUUUCUCUUGUUAUGGGUGGGAAUUUAUGUUUAGAAGAUUUACUAGUAAACUCCAAGUAUUGCUGACAGUUUGACGACGACCAAGGCGUCAAAAUGUUAACAAAUCACAUAUACCAAAUUUACUAUGAUUAAGCUAUAAAAGUUACAAGUCUGUUAUCAACGUGCUGUUUGAAAUUUAAUUUUUUAAUUUGGUGAAAUAAUAAAAGGGAAUGAUUCUAAUUAGUAUAA